rnacentral:rRNA from 1 species
AAAAACAUGUCCUUUUGUUUAAAAUAUAAGGUCUAACCUGCCCAAUGAUUUAUUUAAUGGCCGCGGUAUAUUAACUGUGCUAAGGUAGCAUAAUCACUUGUCUUUUAAUUAAAGGCUAGAAUGAACGGUUGGACGAAGUAUAACCUUUCUUUAACUUAAUUUAUGAAUUUAAUUUUUUAGUUAAAAAGCUAAAAUUUUUUUGGGGGACGAGAAGACCCUAUAGAUCUUUAUAAUUUUUAUUAUUAUAUAUUUUAGUAAAUUAAUUAUUAUAAUAAUAAAAAUUAUUUGGUUGGGGUGACUGUAGAAUUAAAAAAACUUCUAUUUAUUUUUUCAUAAAUAAAUGUUUUAUUGAUCCAAUCUUAUUGAUUAAAAGAUUAAGUUACCUUAGGGAUAACAGCGUAAUUCUUUCGGAGAGCUCUAAUCAAUGAAGGAGUUUGCGACCUCGAUGUUGGAUUAAAAUUAGUGUUAGGUGCAGGAGCUUAAUAACUAGGUCUGUUCGACCUUUAAUUUUUUGCAUGAUCUGAG